ACGAGCAGGAGAACCCGCUGAACUUAAGCAUAUCACUAAGCGGAGGAAAAGAAACUAACCAGGAUUCCCCUAGUAACGGCGAGCGAACCGGGAGUAGCCCAACCACGAAGCACACUGAACCCGUGCUAAUAAAAGCCAGGUCCUAGUGCAUUGUAGGGUUAGAGGAAAUUGAGUGAUGAACCAAGGGGUGGAUUCCUGGUGAGAGGGUGACCCUAAUCUCGCGCGUGCCUGAAGAGGGACUGGAAUGACCCACCAGAGAGAGUGAGAGUCUCGUAAGUUACGCGCGGGUAGGACCUGAACAUUCUCUACCGGGGCCCAGGUUGAUCAAUUGAUUCCUGAGAGUCGGGUUGCUUGAGAGUGCAGCCUGAAGCGGGUGGUAGACCCCAUCCAAGGCUAAAUACAACCGGGAGACCGAUAGUGAACAAGUACCGCGAGGGAAAGAUGAAAGAGCACCCCGGGAGGGGAGUGAAAUGAGAACCUGAAAUCGUUGGGGUGGAAGCAUCUGGGGGUGCGAUCUGGGGAUGGUGUAACUAUCCCCUCGACCGAUCCCAGCCGCGCGUCGAGCGAGGCGGACCAAACCCUGGUCUGAAACAAAUCUCGCGAUACGACGAGGGGCUGCGUAGUCAGAGACAGGUCUAAGCAUACACACGUGCUUAGAUCACGAGGAUCGAUCCAACAUCCCCCGAUGACCCGUCUUGGAACACGGACCAAGGAGUCUGGC
rnacentral:rRNA from 1 species